CGGGCCCGCCAAGUGUUGAUCUUAGGUCUAACGGAUCAAAACCGUGUAUUCUACUGCUGAACUACAAGCCC
rnacentral:tRNA from 1 species